rnacentral:rRNA from 1 species
UGGGGAAUAUUGGACAAUGGGCGAAAGCCUGAUCCAGCCAUGCCGCGUGUGUGAAGAAGGUCUUCGGAUUGUAAAGCACUUUAAGUUGGGAGGAAGGGCAGUAAGCGAAUACCUUGCUGUUUUGACGUUACCGACAGAAUAAGCACCGGCUAACUCUGUGCCAGCAGCCGCGGUAAUACAGAGGGUGCAAGCGUUAAUCGGAAUUACUGGGCGUAAAGCGCGCGUAGGUGGUUCGUUAAGUUGAAUGUGAAAGCCCCGGGCUCAACCUGGGAACUGCAUCCAAAACUGGCGAGCUGGAGUAGGGCAGAGGGUGGUGGAAUUUCCUGUGUAGCGGUGAGAUGCGUAGAUAUAGGAAGGAACACCAGUGGCGAAGGCGACCACCUGGGCUCAUACUGACACUGAGGUGCGAAAGCGUGGUGAGCAAACAGG